rnacentral:rRNA from 1 species
GAUGAACGCUGGCGGCGUGCCUAAUACAUGCAAGUCUAGCGAACAGACGAGGAGCUUGCUCCUCUGACGUUAGCGGCGGACGGGUGAGUAACACUUGGAUAACCUACCUAUAAGACUGGGAUAACUUCGGGAAACCGGAGCUAAUACCGGAUAAUAUAUUGAACCGCAUGGUUCAAUAGUGAAAGACGGUUUUGCUGUCACUUAUAGAUGGAUCCGAGCCGCAUUAGCUAGUUGGUAAGGUAACGGCUUACCAAGGCAACGAUGCGUAGCCGACCUGAGAGGGUGAUCGGCCACACUGGAACUGAGACACGGGCCAGACUCAUACGGGAGGCAGCAGUAGGGAAUCUUCCGCAAUGGGCGAAAGCUUGACGGAGCAACGCCGCGUGAGUGAUGAAGGUCUUCGGAUCGUAAAACUCUGUUAUUAGGGAAGAACAAAUGUGUAAGUAACUAUGCACGUCUUGACGGUACCUAAUCAGAAAGCCACGGCUAACUACGUG